UACGAAGGGUGCAAGCGUUAAUCGGAAUUACUGGGCGUAAAGGGUGCGUAGGCGGUUGUUUAAGUCUGUCGUGAAAUCCCCGGGCUCAACCUGGGAAUGGCGAUGGAAACUGGGCAGCUAGAGUGUGUCAGAGGAUGGUGGAAUUCCCGGUGUAGCGGUGAAAUGCGUAGAGAUCGGGAGGAACAUCAGAGGCGAAGGCGGCGACCUGGACAGAUACUGACACUCAACUACGAAAGCGUGGGGAGCAAACAGG
rnacentral:rRNA from 1 species